GCGCUUCCCCGCCAUUCUUUCUUUCCCAAGCAUCCAUCUCAUCCUCAAAUCGCAUCUCCGGCAGCAGCACCGGCGAGGGCCACCACCUCCGCGCGCCCCGCGCACUCGGAGCUUCUCAGCCGCUUCCCAUCCAUUUUAUGCCGCCGUCGGCUUUCUCCGGCGAACUCAUCCCCUUCUCUCCUUACAAGUCGUGCCCAACCCACUAUUCCACUCCUCCGUGUCAGCAGUGGAGGGGUUGGUUGCCCAAAGCGACUGGAGACAGGGGGCUGUGUGUGCACGCGAUGGGCGGCGAGCUCUCCAGAUUUUUUGCUGGAAGCCGGCGGUGCUAGGUGACGACGGCGGCGAGCCGGAGCCGAGGACGCAAGGAUGUUGCAACCAUGGCGACCACUCGCUGGAACCGGCUGUCGUCAAAGCUGCAUCCAUUGUGACCACACGCUGUGACCCAUCGGCGGUCGUGCUGCAAUCCCUGUGGCCACGAGUGGGAGACAUCGUCGGUGCUCGUCGGCCACGGCCCUGGCCCCAGCCCCGACGGCAGGGCAAAGACUAGUUUUGAGAGUUUUGAGAUUUGGAAGCGGCAAGCCGGGGACGGCACUGGUCUCUCUCCCCCUUCUUUUUUCCUCCCUGUUUUUGUUUUUUUUAUGAGGUGGUCGAAAAAACCGCAUCGGACGGUUUAGAAUAGUCUAA